UCCCAGACUCCUACGGGAGGCAGCAGUGGGGAAUAUUGCACAAUGGGGGAAACCCUGAUGCAGCAACGCCGCGUGAGUGAAGAAGUAUUUCGAUAUGUAAAGCUCUAUCAGCAGGGAAGAGGAUGACGGUACCUGAGUAAGAAGCCCCGGCUAACUACGUGCCAGCAGCCGCGGUAAUACGUAGGGGGCAAGCGUUAUCCGGAAUUACUGGGUGUAAAGGGAGCGCAGACGGCAGUGCAAGUCUGGAGUGAAAGCCCGUGGCUUAACUACGGGACUGCUCUGGAAACUGUGCAGCUAGAGUGCAGGAGAGGCAGGCGGAAUUCCUAGUGUAGCGGUGAAAUGCGUAGAUAUUAGGAGGAACACCGGUGGCGAAGGCGGCCUGCUGGACUGUAACUGACGUUGAGGCUCGAAAGCGUGGGGAGCAAACAGGAUUAGAUACCCGGGUA
rnacentral:rRNA from 1 species